AACGCGAAGAACCUUACCAAGGUUUGACAUCCUGCGAAGGUCUCCGAAAGGAGACUGUGCCUUCGGGAACGCAGUGACAGGUGAUGCAUGGCCGUCGUCAGCUCGUGUCGUGAGAUGUUUGGUUAAGUCCAUUAACGAGCGCAACCCUUAUAGUUAGUUGCUUUUUCUAGCUAGACUGCCCUGGUAACAGGGAGGAAGGAGGGGAUGAUGUCAGGUCCGUAUCUCCCUUACACCUUGGGCUACAAACACGCUACAAUGGCCGGUACAAAGGGCUGCCAAGUCGCGAGACGGAGCAAAUCCCAUCAAAGCCGGUCUCAGUUCGGAUUGCAGGCUGAAACUCGCCUGCAUGAAGCUGGAAUCGCUAGUAACGGUAGGUCAGCAUUACUACCGUGAAUACGUUCCCGGGCCUUGUACACACCGACAUA
rnacentral:rRNA from 1 species